GACGAACGCUGGCGGCGUGCUUAACACAUGCAAGUCGAACGGAAAGGCCCUGCUUUUGUGGGGUGCUCGAGUGGCGAACGGGUGAGUAACACGUGAGUAACCUGCCCUUGACUUUGGGAUAACUUCAGGAAACUGGGGCUAAUACCGGAUAGGAGCUCCUGCUGCAUGGUGGGGGUUGGAAAGUUUCGGCGGUUGGGGAUGGACUCGCGGCUUAUCAGCUUGUUGGUGGGGUAGUGGCUUACCAAGGCUUUGACGGGUAGCCGGCCUGAGAGGGUGACCGGCCACAUUGGGACUGAGAUACGGCCCAGACUCCUACGGGAGGCAGCAGUGGGGAAUAUUGCACAAUGGGCGGAACCCUGAUGCAGCAACGCCGCGUGCGGGAUGACGGCCUUCGUGUUGUAAACCGCUUUCGCCUGUGACGAAGCGUGAGUGACGGUAAUGGGUAAAGAAGCACCGGCUAACUACGUG
rnacentral:rRNA from 1 species